UACGAAGGGGGCUAGCGUUGCUCGGAAUCACUGGGCGUAAAGCGCACGUAGGCGGAUUUCUAAGUCAGGGGUGAAAUCCUGGAGCUCAACUCCAGAACUGCCUUUGAUACUGGAGAUCUCGAGUACGGAAGAGGUGAGUGGAACUGCGAGUGUAGAGGUGAAAUUCGUAGAUAUUCGCAAGAACACCAGUGGCGAAGGCGGCCAUCUGGACCACAACUGACGCUGAGGCGCGAAAGCGUGGGGAGCAAACAGG
rnacentral:rRNA from 1 species